rnacentral:rRNA from 1 species
UACGUAGGGACCAAGCGUUGUUCGGAUUUACUGGGCGUAAAGGGCUCGUAGGCGGUCUGUCGCGUCGGGAGUGAAAACUCAGGGCUUAACCCUGAGCCUGCUUCCGAUACGGGCAGACUAGAGGUAUGCAGGGGAGAACGGAAUUCCUGGUGUAGCGGUGGAAUGCGCAGAUAUCAGGAGGAACACCGGUGGCGAAGGCGGUUCUCUGGGCAUUACCUGACGCUGAGGAGCGAAAGUGUGGGGAGCGAACAGG